rnacentral:rRNA from 1 species
GUGGGGAAUAUUGGGCAAUGGGCGAAAGCCUGACCCAGCAACGCCGCGUGAAGGAAGAAGGUUUUCGGAUCGUAAACUUCUAUCCUUGGUGAAGAUAAUGACGGUAGCCAAGAAGGAAGCCCCGGCUAACUACGUGCCAGCAGCCGCGGUAAUACGUAGGGGGCAAGCGUUGUCCGGAAUGAUUGGGCGUAAAGGGCGCGUAGGCGGCCCGGUAAGUCUGAAGUGAAAGUCCUGCUUUUAAGGUGGGAAUUGCUUUGGAUACUGUCGGGCUUGAGUACAGGAGAGGUAAGCGGAAUUCCCGGUGUAGCAGUGAAAUGCGUAGAGAUCGGGAGGAACACCAGUGGCGAAGGCGGCUUACUGGACUGUAACUGACGCUGAGGCGCGAAAGUGUGGGGAGCAAACAGGAUUAGAAACCCUUGUAGUCC